CCGUUUCCAGUUUCAGUUUUACGUUCCCAAUAGUUUAACAGACCACUUCAAAAGGUGGGGAAAUUAUCAUAGUAGUUCGAAAUACUUUUUUAAAUAUAUUUUUGGGUAUUCAGAGUUCUUCUGAGAGUAUCUCCUCUCCAAGUUUUCAGAUAUUGUUAACAGACAUCCAUUUACUUUUUUUUCCCCCGACAAACUUCAAUUUUUGUUCUUUAAAAAUUGUGUCUCUAAAUGUUAGAGGAGCGGCACGGUGAGCGACCGGUUAGCACAUCUGCCUCGCAGUUCUGAGGACCGGGGUUCAAAUCUCGGAUUCUCAUCGUGAUUUAUCUGAUCACAAACUGAAUACAAUUCAUUUACUUGGUUCUAAACAACAUCAAAACAAUAUAAGGGAAGUUAAACAAUGACUUGCUGAAUGAUUAGAACAUUUUGGGAUAGGUUAAGGAAACGGUAAUACAGAUAGAAAUGGAUGCAAUACAAAGAUGGGAACAUUUUAAAUUCAAAGUAAGAAAAAUAAACCUAUCAGAGAAUCUUUCUGCAGACUUAAGCAAAUAACGCCACGUGGAAGGUUUUUGGGAGAUUUUUUUUUUUUUAAAUAUUAUUUGGGGGAAGGAGUGGCUUGUUCCGUUUAAAAUUUUUCAUUACAAACAAAAUUAGAGAAUUAAAAUGUCAAAAUACGACAAUAUAUACCUAGCUGACAUCUAUGUUUCUGGACGAUGAUGACAAAUGUUCCUUUGGUAAAAAUGAAUCUGAAAAUGUGACUCAUUUAUUUUAUGAUUGUCCUUUUAGUGCUACAUUCUGGAAAGAACUUGAAAAAUACAUUUUGUGCAAAACAAUAUGUAUAAUUACACUUGAAAAGGAAACUAUGAUUACAUUUUAUGAGUCAAAAGAUAAAAAACUGAGUAAUCUUAUUAACUUGUAUAUUUUGUUCGGUACGUUUCAUAUUCACGAAUCUAAAUUCCUAAAUGAAUCCUUUAUUCAAAUUAUUUGUAUUGAAAUCAAUAAUUAUUUAAAAUCUAAAUCUAAUGUGUUUAUUUUUUGUAUUUUAUUUUGUCUGUUGUAAUUGAACUGGAUUGUUUGACUGGUUGUCUAUAUGAUUUAAUAUUAUAUUGACAAAGAUGUAUGUUAAUUAUGUUAAUGCAUUAUUAAUACAAUGUUGUCAAUAAUACAAAUAAAAAUAAAAAACGCUGGCAGCGAGAUCCAUUCCACACGGCCACCAUCCACACACAGAUGUAAUUGUGAAUAUUACUCCGCGGCGGACUAAUAUGCGGCCUCGGGUUCCGCCUGUGUGCUCGUGACCUACUUUGGACAAGUCACAGGAGUUGACGAGACCAGGAAAGAAAGUUCGGCCUUCUGCUGUUAAGAAGUAACGGACCUGGACUAGAUAUGCCUGACCCGGUGAUCGUCGUGCGUACGUGGCGGCCAUAUUGGGAAGGUCGGCGUUAGCAUGAAGAAUGACAGCGCUCAAAGAGGAGGAUGCUAUUCAUGCGGCACAGCUUGAAGCAGGCAUCAGGCGCAGGUGGAGAUGGGCCUGGCUCAAGUUGGAGGCCAAAACAAAACAAAAAAAAGCAAAGAAAUUAGGCAAAUUUUAUUUGAAUCCUAAAUUUGUACAUCAACGUGUACUUGAAUGGUGUAAAAAAAGGUUUUUCUGCGUGAAGAAAAUGUGUUGAUUUUGCCUUAUUGGACAGAGUCUUACAGAUUGUUUAAUUUAUGUUAAAAUAAAAAACAUAAAAAAAUCUCUGCGGGGGCCUGGGGGAAUCCUCCCCAGACCCUCACAACAAUUUUUUUUUGGUCACCUUUUUCAUGCCUUAGUUGUUUGCAUGUCUGUAAAUAACUAGGAUUUCCCGCAAGAGCUUGAUUAUAUACAAUAUCUACUUUUGAACUUAGCCAGUUUUUAUGUUGACAAAAAGAAAAUAAUUACAGAUAGACAGUUUUCCUUUCUAUAAUCUUAGUGUUUAUUUCAAUAUUAAGUUUGUAUUUAUAUCAAAUGUUUUCCCCUCUGAAAUAAUUUAGUUUUGAAUGAAAACAAGCAUUAGCAUUUUCAUUGCUCUAAUUAACCUUACUGUCCUUCAGCCAAUGGAGCAACUUCUCCAGGAUCACACCGCUGAUGUGUAAUAGUGUUGGAAGUAAUAUUUUACCAAUAGUUAAUAUUAAUUUUCAAAUUUAAAUUUUCUAUUUGUGACUUUAGCCAACUCAAAAAGUAUCAGUUAUGCUAAGCCCUUGAUGUAAUACAUUAUGUGUGUAUCAGUGAUCACUUUGUGCACUUUGUUUACAUAUGAUGGUUUGUUACUGUUCUAAUGCUUCUGGGGAAAAAAAAGUUAUGAUAAUAAAGUAUGUUCUA